rnacentral:rRNA from 1 species
GUGUCAGCCGCCGCGGUAAUACGUAGGUGGCGAGCGUUGUCCGGAUUUACUGGGCGUAAAGAGCCCGCAGGCGGUCCGAUAAGUUCCUGGUGAAAUCUCCUGGCUCAACUGGGAGGGUGCCUGGAAAACUGUCGGACUUGAGGCAUGGAGAGGGAUGUGGAAUUCCCGGUGUAGUGGUGAAAUGCGUAGAUAUCGGGAGGAACACCAGUGGCGAAGGCGGCAUCCUGGCCAUGUCCUGACGCUCAGGGGCGAAAGCGUGGGGAGCAAACCGGAUUAGAAACCCCCGUAGUCC